rnacentral:misc_RNA from 1 species
GGAGGUGCAAUCAGGCAGGAGCUUGCGAAGCUGAAAAAGCAGCCUGCUACAGCUUGAGUUGGUAUGGUUUUUAGCAGAUUUUGCAGGCUUGGUGAUGUGAUGCAUAACAUUUUCUUGUGAACAUGGUUUGAACUUUUGUUUUUGCGACUUCUUAAGUAUUGUUUUUGGAAAUUAAUUCUGUUUAUGUUUGGAAUAUCUUUAUUUAUGUGAGAAUAUUAGAAUAUUACCAACUC